AGUGAACGCUGGCGGUAGGCCUAACACAUGCAAGUCGAACGGCAGCACAGUAAGAGCUUGCUCUUACGGGUGGCGAGUGGCGGACGGGUGAGGAAUACAUCGGAAUCUACUUUUUCGUGGGGGAUAACGUAGGGAAACUUACGCUAAUACCGCAUACGACCUACGGGUGAAAGCAGGGGAUCUUCGGACCUUGCGCGAUUGAAUGAGCCGAUGUCGGAUUAGCUAGUUGGCGGGGUAAAGGCCCACCAAGGCGACGAGCCGUAGCUGGUCUGAGAGGAUGAUCAGCCACACUGGAACGGAGACACGGUCCAGACUCCUACGGGAGGCAGCAGUGGGGAAUAUUGGACAAUGGGCGCAAGCCUGAUCCAGCCAUACCGCGUGGGUGAAGAAGGCCUUCGGGUUGUAAAGCCCUUUUGUUGGGAAAGAAAAGCAGCAGGUUAAUACCCCGCUGUUCUGACGGUACCCAAAGAAUAAGCACCGGCUAACUUCGUG
rnacentral:rRNA from 1 species